UCAUCAAAUUUCUCUCUUUUAUUUGCCCACAGGACAUUGUAGUUACAACCUGUGAAUCAGGAAGAGUAAUCUUACUCAGUUCCAUACUGUCAUCAAGGCAAUGCCUUUCCAGACCUGCGGAGAGGCCUGUCCUGCUCUCCCCGGAGACCUCAAGUAUGUGUCUGCUCAGUCACAAAGGGCCUCUUUGGACAGACUAUGGACAUACUGUACCUGGAACAGUCCAUCAGAGGGAGGAAGGAAGAGAAAGUGCAUCUGCAAGCUCCCUUCAUAGAAAUUUUUUGUUGGUCAUAAUUUGCCGACUGGGGCAUUAACUCCUGUGUGAAUCAUUCAGGGCACGCGAAGACAAAUUUCAGAGUAACUUCCUGCAAGUGAAUAGAAUGCUGAUGGGCUGUCACUUCUGUGAUUAGAUUAUUAAAGAUGAACCUCCAUCUCGCUAGCAGACGCUGUUGCCUUUGUAGCUUGCAAGCUUUGAUGAAGCAGUCAUGUUGGAGAGGCCCACAUGGCAAGGAACUGAUGUCAGUCUCCAGGCAACAGCCAGCAAAGAACUGAAUCCUAGCCACAACGACUCGGGUUUGGAAAUGGAUCCUUCACCAGUCAAACCGUCAGAUUAGGUACCAGCCUUGGUUGACACCUUGAUUAUACCCUUACAAAAGACCCUGAAGCAUAGGCUGCAAAUGAGCUGUGUCUGGACUACUAAUUCACAGAAUCUGGGAGAUA